UAAUUUGUUAGAUAUGCAGAGGAAAUUCAACCGCGGGGAGUAUGUGAGAGUGAAGGGCCUGGUAAAAAGGGCAGAUCUCAAUGGAGAGGAGGGUGUUGUUAUAAAGGAAAUCGGUAACAGAUAUGAGGUUGAAAUUGUCAACAAGCCAAGUACAUUUUCUUUGCUACCUGAAAAAUUGGAGUAUCUAGGUCAAAGCUGUGUUGUUAUUGGACCAUGCGAUAAAGGGAUCAGUUCUGAUGAAAUACCAAUAUACACAUCAUAUCUGGAGGGACUCGUAGAGUAUAAAGAGAUACAAGAAUUGAAAUCAAGAUUUGGUUGGAGACGUCCUGUUGGCAUGGCAUGGUGUUCUGAAAAUGCCAAGUAUAAAGACUUGUACAUCUAUUACGACAGUGAAAGCAAAGAGACUGUAAACAGUCUUGCAGAUUUAGUUUUCCCGGCUAUGUCUGCUGAUAAAUGCUGUCCCUCUGUGCCCGUCAACAUGCCGGGACGGGAGGACGGUAUCAGAGGAUCUGUUGUGAUAAUCAGACAGGAACCACCCCAGAAGAUCACUUCAUGGUCAAUGGUGUUGAACAGACCAAAACUGGUCAGAGAGAUUUCUUCUUUGAUAGGCUCAUAACUCACACUGAAGUCAGGAGUAUGUUCAAUAAGGCUAUAAAGCACCAAGGGAAUCACUCACAUCAUGAGAAAGUUAGAAAAGCACAAGAAAAGAAACCCACCCCACAAUCUGCUCAACUGGAUAAGCUUACUAAAAUGUUUAAUGCUAAGCUUGGUGGUGGGCCUGGUGGCGUGAAAUUUCAUGAUCCUAAUGAUAUCACAGGUGACAUGUAUGAAUAUCUGUUGGGAAAGUAAACUCUGUAGAUCAAGUGUUAAGGUUGUGUUGUUUAGUGCAUGAUAUUUAUAUGCAAAUAACUUAUUGAGUGAAAUGGAUACAGUUUGUGCUCCUGACUGCAUUAAGAUGAUACUAUAUAAAUGUAUUUUAUAAUGUAUUACUUAAAUAUUUUUAACAAUAAAUUUAUUUUUAACUAUUAAUUUAUAUGAUAAUUUAUAGGUAUUUAUUUUCACCCAGCAUUCAAAGUGAGUUAAGUAUUGCUUAUGAAUUUUAUAUUGGGUACAAUUGCAAUGCGGCAAAGUUUAAGAAUUUGCAUUUUUAAUGGAAGUUUUAUACAGUUUUCGAGUUUGUUAUUUAUUUGUGACUCAGAUUAACGUUACAAUCGUUCAAUAAUUUGUAACACAGGUAACGUUUAAAAACUUCGGUAUUUUUUAUUUCCCUGGGCAUUUUUCUAUGGUGAUAAAGUUUGCACGAGAGUUCAAAUUUUGUGCUACAGAUGCCGUUUGUCUUAGUCACAUGAUGAUAAUUUGAUUGGGUCCCAUCUUG